UCUCAGGUACUUUCAAAACUCAGCUGUAAGUACUCAUGUGGCUCUCUCGCUGGGCUCUGUUCUAUUCCGUUGGUAUGUCUCUCACUCCACAAGUACACAUCUUGAUUACAUUUUAAUCCAGUAUUAGAAGUCCUAAAAUGAAUGAGUGUGAGUCCAACCAUCCCAGUGUAUUUAUUUCACUGAUUUCUAUCUUAAUUCUGCUGUGUGCUGAUGGUAUACUUUGUGUGAUUUACCUCUUAGGUUAUUUAGGUUUGUUUUAUGGUCCCUAGUAUGAUCUAUUUUGGUGAAUGUUCCAUGUGCACAGUUAAGUGCACGUUGUUUUAUGUGGUUGUUUGUUGGGUGAUAUUUCAUAAAUGUUAACUUAAUACAUAGUGUUGUUUAGGUCUUCCAUAUCAGGAAUCAGCACUUUUUUUUCUUUUCUGUGCUAGGGGUAAGGAUUCCUUUACACAUAAAAAUGCAUAAGACGUCAGCACUUUUUCUUAAAGAACAACAUGUUCCACUGAGAGUCCACAUAGACUGUCCUAUGAGUGAGGAGUUUGGCACUUGGCCAAGAAAACUUAUGCAUGAUUUUUCAUGUCCAACUAUUGACAAUUACAAAGGCUUUACCUGGCAAGACUUUCAGGGGUAACCUGCUAAGAGAUCUCGGCCUCUUCCACUUUUGCUUUUGGUGAGAGGUUCAAAUGCUGAAAAACAUCUGCCAGUGUGAAAGGAGCUUUACCUGGACCACCCCCAGUGGCAAUAAAAAACCUAGCCAGUCUCCUUUCCCUGUUCUCACGGGCUGUUUUUGGACCUGCUUGGGAAUCAUUCUGCUCUCCCCAGAAAGCUUUUUGAUGUGA